rnacentral:rRNA from 1 species
UGAGGAAUAUUGCACGAUGGGCGAAAGCCUGAUGCAGCAACGCCGCGUGAGGGACGAAGGCCUUCGGGUCGUAAACCUCUUUUCUGGGGGACGAGUAAGGACGGUACUCCAGGAAUAAGUCUCGGCUAACUACGUGCCAGCAGCCGCGGUAAAACGUAGGAGGCGAGCGUUAUCCGGAUUUACUGGGCGUAAAGCGUACGCAGGUGGCUUCGUUAGUCGGACAUGAAAGCUCCUGGCUUAACUGGGAGGGGUUGUUCGAUACUGCGGGGCUUGAGGUUGGGAGAGGGACGUGGAAUUCCCGGUGUAGUGGUGGAAUGCGUAGAUACCGGGAGGAACACCAGUGGCGCAAGCGGCGUCCUGGCCCACACCUGACGCUGAGGUACGAAAGCGUGGGUAGCAAACAG